rfam:Loxodonta africana unplaced genomic scaffold scaffold_36, whole genome shotgun sequence.
GCCCUGGUGGUUCAAUGGUUAAGCGCUUGGCUACUAACCAAAAGGUUGGUGGUUCAAAUCCACCCAGCAGCA